GGAGUUAGCCGGUGCUUCUUCUGCGAGUAACGUCACAGAUGUAAGGUAUUAACUUACACCCUUUCCUCCUCGCUGAAAGUGCUUUACAACCCGAAGGCCUUCUUCACACACGCGGCAUGGCUGCAUCAGGGUUUCCCCCCAUUGUGCAAUAUUCCCCACUGCUUCCUCCCGUAGGAGUCUGGGCCGUGUCUCAGUCCCAGUGUGGCUGAUCAUCCUCUCAGACCAGCUAGGGAUCGUCGCCUAGGUGAGCCUUUACCUCACCUACUAGCUAAUCCCACCUGGGCUUAUCCAUCAGCGCAAGGCCCGAAGGUCCCCUGCUUUCCCCCGUAGGGCGUAUGCGGUAUUAGCAGUCGUUUCCAACUGUUAUCCCCACAAAUGGGCAAAUUCCCAGGCAUUACUCACCCGUCCGCCGCUCGUCAUCUUCAAAAGCAAGCUUUUGAAAUGUUACCGCUCGACUUGCAUGUGUUAGGCCUGCCGCCAGCGUUCAAUCUGAGCAUAAUACAACUACUGA
rnacentral:rRNA from 1 species